AUUGAACGCUGGCGGCAGGCCUAACACAUGCAAGUCGAGCGGAUGAAGGGAGCUUGCUCCUGGAUUCAGCGGCGGACGGGUGAGUAAUGCCUAGGAAUCUGCCUGGUAGUGGGGGUUAACGCCGGGAAACGGGCCUUAUUCCCCCUUAGUUCCUGAGGGGGAAAGUGGGGGUUCUUCGGCCCUCAGGCAUCCGAUUGAGCUUAGGUCGGAUUAGCUAGUUGGUGGGGUAAAGGCCUACCAAGGCGACGAUCGGUAACUGGUCUGAGAGGAUGAUCAGUCACACUGGAACUGAGACACGGUCCAGACUCCUACGGGAGGCAGCAGUGGGGAAUAUUGGACAAUGGGCGAAAGCCUGAUCCAGCCAUGCCGCGUGUGUGAAGAAGGUCUUCGGAUUGUAAAGCACUUUAAGUUGGGAGGAAGGGCAGUAAGUUAAUACCUUGCUGUUUUGACGUUACCAACAGAAUAAGCACCGGCUAACUUCGUG
rnacentral:rRNA from 1 species